rnacentral:tRNA from 1 species
GCCCUCGUAGUCCAACGGCAGGAGACGCGGCCAUGAGGCGGCCGACAGUGCGCGUUCGAAUCGCGCCGAGGGCA